rnacentral:lncRNA from 1 species
AUGGGUUUGUUUGGAGUGGGAGGAGAACACAGGACUCAACCAUGCCCAGAUGCUCCCGGACAGCAAAAGGGGACAAGCCGUAGCCCCGCCCUCCCCAAUGGGGGUCUGAGUAGAGGCCCCCGCGGGGAGGAGGAGGACCGCAGUGUCCUUUGGGAAAUGGAGUCCAUGAGCCUGCCCAUCAGAGAAGCUAAAGGAGAGCGGCCGUGGGUCUCCCUAAGAGUAGACUACAUUUCCCAGAAGGUUCCAAGAUUCCAUUCCAGCUCGACCUGUGUGGAUGGUCUCAGAACCCAAGGCAUGAUGGGAAUCAUCUUUUCGGGGCUCAAGGAGCAGCCCGAGACGCCGAGUGGGCAAGAGAGAGUGACAGGACUACGCAAGCGCGAGACCCGGCUUCCCAUCUCCCCUCCUAGCUGGAGCCUGGUCCCCCCAGUGCCUGCUGAUGAGCGAGUGCGCGUGUGCGGCGACGCCUAUCCUAGCGCGGACCAAUGGUUGUGGUGGAGUCGCCGCCGCCUGUCUGACCUCCCUUCCCCUCGCCUCAUGGUGGCCGCCCAGCCCAGUUCGAGGGGUCCCCCAGAGCCUCGGGCAGCAAACUCCAGCAAGGCGGGAGGCUGCAAAGGGAGCGCAGGCGAGCGGCUUCCCGAGAAGGCCAGGCUGCUGCUGGGAAGCUCCCAUCCUUCCUGGCCGACCCACCAGGAGGCUCCUCCACAGCCGCUUCGGAGCACGGCCCCAUCCCUGGAGGGACUGGUGGUCCAGGCCGCCCCGCUAGCGUCUGAGGGCGCCUUUUCCCGGAUUCCGGCCAGCGCUCCGGGGAGGACGAGCGCGUCACAUCCAUCGCGGGACGCAGCUUGGGCAGAGGAAGUGAAGUUGAAGCUUCUCAAUAUUUGGUCCUUCCCCAAGACCACCUUAUGGCAGAUGAGGAGGAAAUGACUUCCAGCUUCCUGAGACCUAGGCUUAAGUCCCUGAUUGGAAGGCUUCACUUCAUUCCGGGUCCGAGUCCCAGAGUCCUUAUUUCUGGACAACGUGCCCAUCACACAGAGACUUCUGCCAGCCCCUUCUGUAUGUUAGGACUCCAAGUACCUAUGUGGCAUUUUAGUUAUAUGGCUUGAUGGUGUCUUGCCUAGUGAGGUGAGUUUGAUAGAAUAAGGGGAUACACUUUAUAUUGAAUUUACACAAUUGUUUCUCUUUGCUGAAAACCAGACCAGUUAUUUUAUCACGUUUAGGACCAUUUCUUUCCCUUUUUGUCAAUGGUUUUUGUUCCCGCAGUUCUCAUCCAGGGAUCUGAGCUUCAAUUCUUCUCUUCGAUAAGUCUCAGAUUAUUCUAAUGGAUGAUGCAAAGUUUAUAAAUCAUUUGAAUUGGAUUGCCUUCAUAAUAUAAGUUCAACUCUUGUAAGGAGUAAAUUUAGGGGUUUUUGACUGAAAUAUAAAUUUAGUUGGUCUCCAGGGAUUAGUUCAAGUCCCAAUAAAAAUGCUGAAGUCAGUUUGGGAAUUUUAUGG